AGGAGAAGAAGAGAGCUGCUAAAAAAUAGUUGGGUUGGAUGUUGAGAAGCUGUGAUCCUGGAAACUUGUCGGUUGCCUGAGAAACGAUGCCAAACCAGCUAUGGUUUGCACUGCUAAUUAUUUAUCAGCAUGGAAGGAUUUUCCAAAGGGCCUCAGUGUUCUUCUCCUUGCGGAGGAUAGCAGUUCUGCUGCAGAGAUGAAGUCGAAACUCGAAGCAAUGGAUUAUAUUGUGUCUAUAUUCUGCAAUGAGAAUGAAGCUUUGUCAGUAAUUUCAAGCAAACCUGAAAGCUUUCAUGUUGCCAUUGUAGAGGUGAGUACGAGCAAUAGCAAUGGGAGGUUCAAGUUCCUUGAAACUGCUAAGGACUUGCCUACGAUCAUGAUUUCAAACAUUCAUUGCCUGAGCAUCAUGAUGAAGUGCAUAGCGCUUGGUGCUGUUGAGUUCCUUUGGAAACCUCUUUCUGAAGACAAACUAAGGAACAUAUGGCAGCAUGUGGUUCACAAGGCAUUUAAUGCUGGGGGAAGUGUCCUCUCUGAAUCAUUAAAGCCUGUCAAAGAUUCUGUAGUUUCCAUACUGCAGCUUCAAGUGGAAACUGAAGAGCCCAAGAAUGAGACGUUAGAGAGAAUAGAAAAUACAUCUCCAGCUCCUGAAAAUGAUUAUGAGUACUCAUCAGGUAGUGAUAGAUACCCAGCUCCUUCAACCCCACAAUUAAAACAAGGAGCCCGGUUAUUGGAUGAUGGGGAUUACCAAGAUCUUACUAAUUGUUCAACAGAAAAAGAGAGUGAGGAGCAUGAGGGGGAAUCUAAAUCUGUCGAAACUACUUGUGCAAUGACUGAAGAAACUCUGCAGGUCGGCCAUCCUCAGAGCUCAAUUGAGACUCUGAUCAAAGAGAAAGAUGACUCAGCUGAUGGUGUUAAGAGUGAGAAUAAUCCAUCUGGUCAUCCGCCAAAUAAUGACAGUCUCAACAAUCCUGAUGGAAAUGCCACAAACCCUGUUAAAGCUUCUGGUCUUCACAAUUCGUGUGGGACUAGAGUUAAUCGAAAGAAAAUAAAGGUAGACUGGACGCCUGAGCUGCACAAAAAAUUUGUGCAGGCAGUGGAGCAACUGGGUGUAGAUCAAGCCGUUCCUUCAAGAAUACUAGAGGUGAUGAAAGUGGGAGGCUUGACAAGGCAUAAUGUAGCAAGUCAUCUCCAGAAAUAUCGAAUGCAUCGGAGACAUAUUCUGCCCAAGGAAGAUGAUAGGAGAUGGUCACAACAAAGGGAUCCAGUACAAAGGAGCUAUUCUCAACAUAAACCUAUCAUGGCCUACCCUCUAUGUCACCCUAAUCAUACUUUCCCGCUUAGUCCUGUCUAUCCCGUCUGGGGAGCACCUAGUGGUCACCCAGCUGGUGUCCAAAUGUGGGGCUCACCAGGCUAUGCCCCAUGGCCAUCAAGAGAAAAUUGGCAUUGGAAACCUUAUCCAGGGAUGCAUGCAGAUGCAUGGGGUUGCCCUGUGAUGCCACCACCUCACAAUCCUUAUUCUUCCUCACCUCAAAAUGUUACUGGGUUUCACAGUACUGGAAUGGUUGACAAUGGGUGCAAUGUACCACAAAAUUCGUUCAACCUACAUCCGGCAGAGGAGGUGGUUGACAAGGUAGUGAAAGAAGCAAUCAACAAACCUUGGUUGCCCUUGCCU
rnacentral:misc_RNA from 1 species